rnacentral:ncRNA from 2 species
GUGCUAACGCGGGGGUCCUGCGUCGCGUUGUCGCAUCCAUCGAUGCGAGAGCGCCGCGCGGGUGAGAAACACCCUUUGAACCUGAUCUGGAUAAUGCCAGCGCAGGGAAGCGUACGGGCUUGACCG